rnacentral:lncRNA from 1 species
AGCCUGCACAUCCACCUGAGCAUCCUCAUCUCCGCAACCUUCAUUCUCUGAACAUGAGAGUUCUUCACUAGCCAGCACUCUGCACCAUACAACAUUGCAGGUCUAACCACAGCUCAAUAAAAUUUCCCCUUGAGUUUCUGUGGAACUUUCUUGUCGCACAGAACUCCUGAUGCAAGCCUCCACUUUGACCACCCCGCUCCUAUACGAUAAGUGAUGUCCCCGUCAAUCUCUCCAUCCUCCUGAAUCACCGACCCAAGAUAUCUGACACUGUCCCUCUUGGCAAUGACCUGAGAUCCA